rnacentral:lncRNA from 1 species
AGAGCAUUCACUUAAGACAUGGAAACAGAAUGCGGAAAGGAGUCCUAAUAUGUGAGGAAUCAAGAGAAGGGUUACGUUAGUGACUUGGGGGGGCUCUGAAAGCUAUAAAAAGGGGUACAAGGAGAAGAGAAAAAAAUAGAACAAAAAAUUGAAAGAAAAUUGUGGAGAAAAAGAGAGAGAAAGAGAGGAAAGAGUUGGAGCUUUGGGAG